rnacentral:rRNA from 1 species
AAAGCUAGCCGGUGACGGUGCGCGAAUCCCAAAAAUAACGUCUCAGUUCGGAUUGUAGUCUGCAACUCGACUACAUGAAGCUGGAAUCGCUAGUAAUCGCGGAUCAGAAUGCCGCGGUGAAUACGUUCCCGGGUCUUGUACACACCGCCCGUCACACCAUGGGAGUCGGAAAUGCCCGAAGUCUGUGACCGAACCGAAAGGAAGGAGCAGCCGAAGGCAGGUCGGAUGACUGGGGUGAAGUCGUAACAAGGUAGC